GAGCUCGUAGGCGGUUUGUCGCGUCUGCUGUGAAAUCCCGAGGCUCAACCUCGGGUCUGCAGUGGGUACGGGCAGACUAGAGUGCGGUAGGGGAGAUUGGAAUUCCUGGUGUAGCGGUGGAAUGCGCAGAUAUCAGGAGGAACACCGAUGGCGAAGGCAGAUCUCUGGGCCGCUACUGACGCUGAGGAGCGAAAGGGUGGGGAGCAAACAGGCUUAGAUACCCUGGUAGUCCACCCCGUAAACGUUGGGCGCUAGAUGUGGGGACCAUUCCACGGUUUCCGUGUCGUAGCUAACGCAUUAAGCGCCCCGCCUGGGGAGUACGGCCGCAAGGCUAAAACUCAAAGGAAUUGACGGGGGCCCGCACAAGCGGCGGAGCAUGCGGAUUAAUUCGAUGCAACGCGAAGAACCUUACCAAGGCUUGACAUAUACGAGAACGGGCCAGAAAUGGUCAACUCUUUGGACACUCGUAAACAGGUGGUGCAUGGUUGUCGUCAGCUCGUGUCGUGAGAUGUUGGGUUAAGUCCCGCAACGAGCGCAACCCUCGUUCUAUGUUGCCAGCACGUUAUGGUGGGAACUCAUGGGAUACUGCCGGGGUCAACUCGGAGGAAGGUGGGGACGACGUCAAAUCAUCAUGCCCCUUAUGUCUUGGGCUUCACGCAUGCUACAAUGGCCAGUACAAAGGGCUGCAAUACCGUAAGGUGGAGCGAAUCCCAAAAAGCUGGUCCCAGUUCGGAUUGAGGUCUGCAACUCGACCUCAUGAAGUCGGAGUCGCUAGUAAUCGCAGAUCAGCAACGCUGCGGUGAAUACGUUCCCGGGCCUUGUACACACCGCCCGUCAAGUCAUGAAAGUCGGUAACACCCGAAGCCAGUGGCCUAACCGCAAGGAAGGAGCUGUCUAAGGUGGGAUCGGUAAUUAGGACGAAGUCGUA
rnacentral:rRNA from 1 species